rnacentral:tRNA from 1 species
GAGGGGAUAGCUCAGGGGCAGAGCCCGUGCUUGGCAUGCACGGGGUCCUGGGCUCAAUCCCCAGUACCUCCA